GACAAACGCUGGCGGCGUGCCUAAUACAUGCAAGUCGAACGACGAAAGCCUUCGGGCAAGUAAGAGUGGCGCACGGGCGAGGAACACGUAGAUAAUCUGCCCUUCAGUGGGGAAUAACUCUCCGAAAGGAGUGCUAAUACCGCAUAAGACCACAAGCUCUGCGGAGCAAGGGGUUAAAGGAUUUAUUCGCUGAAGGAUGAGUCUGCGUCCGAUUAGCUAGUUGGUGAGGUAAUGGCUUACCAAGGCAAUGAUCGGUAGAUGGUCUGAGAGGAUGAUCAUCCGCACUGGAACUGAGACACGGUCCAGACUCCUACGGGAGGCAGCAGUAGGGAAUAUUGCACAAUGGGGGAAACCCUGAUGCAGCAACGCCGCGUGAGUGAUGAAGGCUCUAGGGUCGUAAAGCUCUGUCGUAUGGGAAGAAAAAAAUGACGGUACCAUACAAGAAAGGACCGGCCAACUUCGUGCCAGCAGCCGCCGCGG
rnacentral:rRNA from 1 species